rnacentral:rRNA from 1 species
UGGUAGUGUAUUGGACAACCAUGGCGUUCACGGGUAACGGAGGAUUAGGGUUCGAUUCCGGAGAGGGAGCCUGAGAAACGGCUACCACAUCUAAGGAAGGCAGCAGGCGCGUAAAUUACCCAAUCCUGACUCAGGGAGGUAGUGACAAGAAAUAACGGACCGAAGCCUAUGUUUCGGGAUUGCAAUGAGUAGAAUUUAAACCCCUUUACGAGGAUCAAUUGGAGGGCAAGUCUGGUGCCAGCAGCCGCGGUAAUUCCAGCUCCAAUAGCGUAUAUUAAAGUUGUUGCAGUUAAAAAGCUCGUAGUUGGAUUUCUGGGAGGGUGCCAAUGUCGUCUUGUUGAUUGUGCAGCGGCGCCCUUCCAUCCUUCUGUUAACGUUUCUGAUAUUUAUUUAUUGGUCUCGGGCUCAGAUAUUUUACCUUGAGAAAAUUAGAGUGUUCCAGGCAGGCUCGCGCCGGAAUACAUUAGCAUGGAAUAAUAGAAUAGGACUUUAGUCUCCUUUGUUGGUUUGAGGGACUGAAGUAAUGAUUAAUAGGGAUAGUUGGGGGCAUUAGUAUUUAAUUGUCAGAGGUGAAAUUCUCGGAUUUGUUAAAGACUAACUUAUGCGAAAGCAUUUGCCAAGGAUGUUUUCAUUAAUCAAGAACAAAGUAAGGGAUCAAACACGAUCAUG